GGAAGUGUGGCUUAUACUCAGUGCGGCUUAUAAUCGUGAAAUUACUGUAUUUGUAAAGCACAAAGAAAAUUAUGUUCAAGAGUACACUGUGGAUACUAAGGAUCUCAUUGGGAUGGAAAACUUCCUGAACUUGGCAUGCUGAUUUUUUUAAUUGAAAAAUGAAACUGACUGUAAAGCAAAGCCAGGUUAACUUUGAAUGCAGAGUUCAGAACUUCAUAGAAAUCCAAGGAAAUGCUACUUCUGUGUAGUAAUAACUAUUCUUGUCUGUUACUUGCAGGGCAACGCUUAUUUGAGAACUUGCACGUGUUACCUCACGCACCUAGCGUACAGAUGCAAGCCAUUCCUGAAGAUGCUGUUCAUGAAGACAGUGGAGAUGAGGAUGGAGAAGAUCCAGACAAACACAUUUCUAUUCGAGCAUCUGAUAAGCGCAUAGCCUGUGAUGAAGAAUUUUCAGAUUCUGAAGAUGAAGGGGAAGGUGGAUGACAAAAUGUUGCAGAUCAUAAGAAAGGAGCAAAGAAAGCCAGAAUAGAAGAAGACAAAAAAGAGACUGAAGAUAAAAAAGCAGAGGAAAAUCAGAACAGCUCAGGAACCGUUGAACAAAAGAUAGCCUCUCAUCAGUUGCAGAAUCUAAUACUAGAGUCUGAGAAUACCUAAAAGGAGAAGUUUUCGUAUGGAGAGAGACUGCUGAUUUCAUUUUGUACUAUUUGGCAUGGACUGUAUUUAUUUUCAAAUGGCUUUGUUCUGUUUUUGGUAAGUUGUGAGUUUUCUAAUUAUGAGGCAGAAAUUCCUUUCUUCACCAUGCUUUAUGUAAUAGUAUUUAAAAAUGGAUGUGAGUUAUUAUGUUAAAUGUCUAAACUGAACUAUUAAUUUGCCUUUCCUGAGCUGAUUUUACCUUUUUUGUAAUUU